GCAUGAUUACUAUGGAUUCUGUUGGUAAAUAUAUUUGCAAAUGUGGUACAGAUUUUGUCAUUGGUGAAGUGUAGGAAGAAGCACAACAGGACAGAUGAAGUCGUUGCACAACAGGACAGAUGAAACUCAGACGCUCCACUAAAUCGAAAAGGACCAAAGCACUGAGUUCUACAAAGGAUUGUGGCCACAAUUAUCCACGUAGUAAAGCAGGAAUGGCAUCUCUGAAUAGUUGAAGACCAAAUCGCUGUCUUCUACAAAGAACUGCAGCCACAAUUCUCUGUG